GGAGGGAUGGCCGAGUGGUUUAAGGCGCUCGCCUGGAAAGCGUGUUGGGGGCAACCCCUCGAGGGUUCGAAUCCCUCUCCCUCCGCCA
rnacentral:tRNA from 1 species